CACGUAGGGCGCGAGCGUUGUCCGGAAUUAUUGGGCGUAAAGAGCUCGUAGGCGGCCUGUUGCGUCCGCUGUGAAAGCCCGGGGCUUAACCCCGGGUCGGCAGUGGAUACGGGCAGGCUAGAGGUAGGUAGGGGAGACUGGAAUUCCUGGUGUAGCGGUGAAAUGCGCAGAUAUCAGGAGGAACACCGGUGGCGAAGGCGGGUCUCUGGGCCGAUACUGACGCUGAGGAGCGAAAGCGUGGGGAGCGAACAGG
rnacentral:rRNA from 1 species